GAUGAACGCUGGCGGCGUGCCUAAUACAUGCAAGUCGAGCGAACGGACGAGAAGCUUGCUUCUCUGAUGUUAGCGGCGGACGGGUGAGUAACACGUGGAUAACCUACCUAUAAGACUGGGAUAACUUCGGGAAACCGGAGCUAAUACCGGAUAAUAUUUUGAACCGCAUGGUUCAAAAGUGAAAGACGGUCUUGCUGUCACUUAUAGAUGGAUCCGCGCUGCAUUAGCUAGUUGGUAAGGUAACGGCUUACCAAGGCAACGAUGCAUAGCCGACCUGAGAGGGUGAUCGGCCACACUGGAACUGGGACAGGGUCCAGACUCCUACGGGAGGCAGCAGUAGGGAAUCUUCCGCAAUGGGCGAAAGCCUGACGGAGCAACGCCGCGUGAGUGAUGAAGGUCUUCGGAUCGUAAAACUCUGUUAUUAGGGAAGAACAUAUGUGUAAGUAACUGUGCACAUCUUGACGGUACCUAAUCAGAAAGCCACGGCUAACUACGUG
rnacentral:rRNA from 1 species